GAAUUGCAGAACUCCGUGAACCAAUGGCCUCUUGAACGUGCAUUGCGCUCUUGGGAUAUGCCUGAGAGCAUGUCUGCUUCAGUGCUUCUACUUUCAUCUUCUGCUGCUCUUGUUAUCAGGAGCAGUGUUGCUGCAUGCUUCUGCAAGUGGCACUGGCAUGCUAAAUAUCAAGUUUUGCUUGCUGUUGUGACUGAUCAACAUCUCAUGUCGUUUCAGUUGGCGAAACAAAAGCUCAUGUGUGUUCUUAACACUUCCUAGCAUGAAGUCAGACAAGUGAACCCGCUGAACUUAAGCAUAUGGAUCCC
rnacentral:rRNA from 2 species